ensembl:snoRNA
CCUGCCCCUAGAGACACUGCAGCUGUGGCGGCCCUGGCACGUGUCAGUGGGUGGCAGAGAGGAGAGAGGCUAUGCUUACUCUCAGUGUUCCGACCUGUGAAUAUCUGAGUGACCAGGAGCCUAACAAU